CCCCUAGAUGUUCUGGGCCGCACGCGCGCUACACUGAACAGUUCAACAAGUCUUAACCUUGGCCGAUAGGUCUGGGUAAUCUUUGAACGCUGUUCGUGACUGGGAUAGACCUUUGCAAUUAUGGGUCUUCAACGAGGAAUUCCUAGUAAACGCAAGUCAUCAGCUUGCAUUGAUUACGUCCCUGCCCUUUGUACACACCGCCCGUCGCUACUACCGAUUGAACGUUUUAGUGAGGUAUUUGGACUGGACCUUCGGAGGUUCGCGCCUCCGUUGCUGUUCGGGAAGACUCCCAAACUUGAGCGUUUAGAGGAAGUAAAAGUCGUAACA
rnacentral:rRNA from 1 species